AAGUACGAAAGGACCGGAAGUAGUAAAGAGAGGGGUGAAUGAGUCUCGGAAAUGUACUAUGCGCAUGCGUCAGAAUUUUUCUUGUAUCGGGGGCUUGAAGGAAGCGCUUUGAUUGGUCGAAGAAGUGGCCGGUAGGGGUAGUUCGGCUUCAGGCCCAUGCUUCCCAUGAUAUUAUUUAAAGAGGAAUGCUUGGAGUAAUUUCACCAUUCUUCAUUCAGCACCCCUUGAAUGAACAGCUAGCUGUAGCGUGACCAUCACAGUUUCAGUCAGUAGUUCGUUUUGGUUUUUAUUUUUGUCUUUUCUAAUAGACCUUACUACGUCUAGAUAGUUUUUUUAUUCAAGUCUGUUAUAUUGAUAACAGACAGUAUUAUUGAGUUUUUUGUUAUAUAAACAAUAUCUGGUGAAAGUUUUUUAACAGUUCAUUUUCCAAUUGGAUCUUUCGAAUUUUAAAGGAAUAUCAAAAGGCAAACGAUCUGAUUGAAGAAACGCACCACGAUGUAUAACAAUUU